rnacentral:misc_RNA from 1 species
CACCCCCCAAGCCCGGCUUGGUAUUGGAGCGCGUCCGCGCGGACGGCCCCGAAACACGCUGGCGGCGCCGACGCGGUUCCGAGUGCAGUAGAAUGCUUGCUCGGGAGCGCGGAGCGCCCGGCCAUCCACCCCAUUUCUGUGG